UACGGGAGGCAGCAGUGGGGAAUAUUGCACAAUGGGCGAAAGCCUGAUGCAGCUAUGCCGCGUGUAUGAAGAAGGCCUUAGGGUUGUAAAGUACUUUCAUCGGGGAGGAAAAAAACAAAACUAAUAAUUUUAUUUCUUGACGUUACCCGAAAAAGAAGCACCGGCUAACUCCGUGCCAGCAGCCGCGGUAAUACGGAGGGUGCUAGCGUUAAUCAGAAUUACUGGGCGUAAAGAGCACGUAGGUGGUUUUUUUAAAGUCAGAUGUGAAAUCCCUGGGCUUAACCUGGAACUGCAUUUUGAAACUGAAAUACUAGAGUAUCGUAGAGGGAGGUAGAAUUCUAGGUGUAGCGGUGAAAUGCGUAGAUAUCUGGAGGAAUACCUGUGGCGAAAGCGGCCUCCUAAACGAAUACUGACACUGAGGUGCGAAAGCGUGGGGAGCAAACAGGGAUUAGAUACCCGU
rnacentral:rRNA from 1 species